UUAGAGCAUCAGGAAGGACAUAUGAAGUCACUCACCUUAAGGAGUUUUCAUUCUGUGAGUUUUAACUAGAACUCAUUCCUGAUGUUCUAUACUCUGGUUAAAAACAAUUCACUGAGGCAUCCUGCCUCAGAAUGACUUUCCUAGCAUCCUUCAUGUGAAAUAGCAAGGUUUAUUCACAAGUCAUUCCCAGGUUUUGUAAUUCAUACCACAGUGCCUUGCAAAAAGCACAUAAAUGAAGCAACAAAAUUCAAUUGUUGUGCUUAGAUAGCGGACCCUACUUAAUAAAAAAAAAAUUUUUAAUGUGGUUAUUGAAACAAUAUGCAGUAUAAAUAAUUAGAUUACAUCUGUAUAGACAGGGCCUAGAUUUUGUUAACUCUAAUAAAUAAAUGUAGUUAGCUUAAUUUAAAAUUUAGAAUUUUAAGCUUUUUAUUUAGCUAGGCACUUUAUUACUCUCUUUUGAAUUGAAAGCACACUGCAAUAUAGGGUCAUGUAAUUGUCUGUAAUAAAGUACUUAUAAAUGGAAUAUGGCCUAGUUUUACCAUAACCCUUAGCACCUUUAAAUUUUGAAAAACUUCUGAAUGAAUAAUAUGAGCAGAGAUGCUUAUAUAUAAAUCACAUCUAUUUUAAGGAUAUUAUUUCUAAUUCACUUCUUUGUAUUUUGCAUAAAUGAGCAUAAACUAAAGGUCCAUUCUUAGGGAAAAAAAGAAAAAAAAAACUUGGUUGAGCAUUUUGUCACUUAAUCAGCCACUGAGGUUUCACUAAAAGCUACCAUAGUGAAAUGAAGUCAGGGAGGGUUUAUAUCACAUUGAUUUCACUAGGAUUAUUUUAAUAUAUCAAAGGGGUUUGCUAUGCUAGACAAAAUUUUAGGGAAAAAAUACUACUAGAAAUGCAUGCAUCAUCAGGACAUACCAUCAUAUCUUGAGUCCAGUAUGCCAUAAGACAUCUUAGCAC
rnacentral:lncRNA from 1 species